GACGAACGCUGGCGGCGUGGAUUAGGCAUGCAAGUCGAACGGUAUCAUCCUUUCGGGGGUGAGAGAGUGGCGAACUGGUGAGUAACACGUAGGUUAUCUACCCUCAAGACGGGGACAACCCAGGGAAACUUGGGCUAAUACCGGAUGUGAGCAACUUUUAGUUGUUUGAAAGGUGGCGUAAGCUGUCGCUUGGGGAUGAGCCUGCGUCCUAUUAGUUAGUUGGUGAGGUAACGGCUCACCUAGGCAAUGAUAGGUAGGCGGCCUUAACGGGUGGUCGCCCACACUGGGAUUGAGAUACGGCCCAGACUCCUACGGGAGGCAGCAGUCGAGAAUAGUCUACAAUGGUCGGAAGACUGAUAGUGCGACGCCGCGUGAACGAUGAAUCCCUUCGGGGUGUAAAGUUCUUUUAUAUGUGAGCAGUGCUUCUUAUAUUAACAGUAUGGGGAGAGAGAUAUUAGCAUAUGAAUAAGCAAGGCUAACUCCGUGCCAGCAGCCGCGGU
rnacentral:rRNA from 1 species